rfam:Picea glauca, whole genome shotgun sequence.
AUGUACAUUCCUAUAGCAUAGUGUUAAUGCAAUGGAUCCCAUUAGAACUCCGUAGUUAAGAAUGCUCAAGCUAGAGUAGUACUAGGAUGGGUGACCAUUUGGGAAGUCCUAGUGUUUUACAUG